UUGUUUGUUUUUGUUUUCAUUUUUUUGGUCUUUUGUUUUUCUUGAGGACGGAGAUCCUCGAGCUCUACCUGCUGCUAUGGGUUUGUGGGGGGGGGGGGUGCGGAGGACGCUGACGAACUGGCGAAGCUCAGUCGACUGAGAGCGUCGUCCUCUUUGGGGGCGUCGAUGGAACGGGGGAGGGGUGGGGGGCGACCAACACCACCGGGGGUGGGGUUUGGGGGGGGUGCAGUACCCGCCGUUACACCGGUACUCAAACAGGACACGGACCUUUUCACUGUAACGCUCCCUUCUCUGACCUCUGACCUCGCUGCUGCGUUCACGGACACCACCCCCGACCUCCGCCCUGCCCCCCCCCCCCCCCCCCCCUCCACCCUCCACAACCCCCCACCCACCCCGCCUCCACCCCCACCCCCCCACCACCACCAGACCCCAGUCUGUCCUGCUCCCCACGCAGCCAGCACACACCGGAUGAGUUUCACUGAUUGAGUCACACUAUCAGUAUUGUGUUGUGUCUGCGAGUGUGUGUGUGUGUGUGUGUUGCCAAUGUGUACUGAAGGACGUUGAGGCGGUUAACGUUGGUCUUCUCUCCCCUCAGGGGCCAUAUUACCCCGUUUUAAAUGUCCUAUUUAAUCGGAAUAAAAUAUUUUCACUGUUCAAUAAAACAGCUGCCAAAUAAAGGCUUUAGUUUUUUUCUAUUUUGAUUUAAAUCUUCAGUCUGUAGAGAAAUCGACUUGUUUUGAUGUUUAAUCGCCUUCAUCAAUCCAAAUUUCAAGUGUCUGAAAAGGUCCAGUUCUGAGUUUCAGGUCCUGGUCGUUUUGUUUUUUGUUUUUUUUCUUCUCUCUUUCGUUCUUUACAGGUGCAUCUAAAACACAUUUAAAUCACUUUAUUUCCACAGUAAUAACCUGAAAACCCAACUGACAAUUACGACCUCUGAUUUAAAAAAAAUAAAACUCACAACUUGUCAUUAUUGAUCUGAAUUCAUAAAGAACUGAAUUAUUUGUGCUUUAAAACUAAAACAUGGAUCAAAAAGGAAUUUUUUUUUUUUUUUUUUUAGAUGCACCAGUAACCCAACAAUCUCUUUAGUUUUUCUAUUAAUUACGAUUUCAUUUCAAGCAUUAAAACUGUCCGGUUUUAAAGCGGCUCUGAAGGGUUUGUCACGAGAGAUUUCCAGAUUUCCUUUGAUAAUCAACUAAAAUUAUAGAGAAUAAAACAAAAAAAAACCUGAGUUUUGCUGUAUGACUCUAUAAAUUAGGAGGAAAAUGGAAUCUUUUUGUUCAGGUUCAGUUCUUUAUACGUAAAACAUUCUUUUUUCUCUGAGUUUCAAGCGUCCGUACUGUCAAAGAUCAACUGCAGAAUCUGGUUCUGACUUUAUUAUUGUCAGGAAUAUCACUGAUAGUUUCACUGUUCUGUCAAUUAUAUGAAUUUACAAGUUAAACUCAAAGGUCUCAGCUUGUCAAAUUUAAAUGAAAUUUUGCAAAGAAUAAACCUGAAAAAGCUUGAGUAAUUAAAUUCAACCAAACAUGAGAGAAAUCAGACUUUAAUUCAGAUUUUCAGAAUGUCCUGUAAGCAGAAAGUCUUUAUUGGAGAACAAAUUCAGAUUUGAAGCUUCUGCGUCGUCAGAAGUCUCCAGUUAGAACUAUAAAGACCUGAUCCUGGACCUUAAAGCAAUGCAUUUCUGUCUGUGCUCGUCUGAAGAAACGAAUGUUGUCUUUUCUCUUUGACACUAAUAACUUUUAUUUUUUCAUCUAAAACCAGACGAAGCUUGAAAGGUUUUGUGUUGAACCCGGUAAAAGGUGACAGCGAGCCGUGUCGGACAUGCACCUGUAAACUAAAAACUGAUUGAAAGCUUUUUGUUUUUUUUUAACCCGAUCACUAAAUAAUUACACCGAACUGUGAUUUGUGUGUAGCUCAGAGCUGCUCGGCCGCUUCCAAUCCCUCCAGUCCGACGCUUUUAACCCCUUUCUCUUCAUUCGCAGGGUUGUGAUGUGUGUUAGUGUGUGUGAGUGUGUGUGUGCGUGUGUGUGUUGGUCAGGGACGGGCUCGGGGUUAUUUCUGAAGAAAUUCUAUCAAUGGAGCUCUAUUUAUUUAAGUUGUGAACUGUUUUUUUUUUUUUCUUUGGUUAUUUGAAGGCAAACCAAGCGCUCGUUUUGGGACCUUGUCUGUUUCUUUUCAUUAUUUUAUUUUGCAGGAGGAGUGAAUAUUUAAUGGCUUGUUACUUGAUUUCUUUUCUGAUCCUGAGUGAUUGAGUGAAUCCUCCUCUGAACAAAUCUUCCACGUGAGCGACUCGGGCUGUAAAAAAACAAAACAAAACAAACUUGAAUCCCUCGCCGCCUUCUUAUAUUCUUUUUUUUUUUUUUUUUUUGUCCGAGUCACCCGGAUCUGUCUGCCUUCCUCGUAAUAUUACCCACAAUGCACACCUGCUUCAUGUGUCCAGCAUGUAUUUUCCACACGUGUACAUGCGACGUGCUGAUUGUUUUUCUUUGUGUGUGAACGGGUUUCCAACACUGCACUAAGACUCUGGCUCCCAUGUUGUUUAGCGUUUACUUGUGAUCGAUGGGUUGAAGGGGGGCGGGUGUGUGUGAGUGAGUGAGUGAAUGAAUGUGUGUGUGUGUGAGAGAGAGAUUUGAGUGUACAGAUUGUGUCUGACAUCUUGUUUUCUUUUUGUAAGAAUAUAAGCAUUAAUCGCCUAGAAAUAAAGAGCUACAAUAUGUGAA